CUCUCUCUCUCUCUCUCUCUCUCUCCUCUUCUGCCAAGCAAGCGCUCUCUCUCAAUCAAGCGCCUAAGCAACCACCGCAGCACAAGCACUCUCGGUCUCCCUCUCUCAGGUUUUUGGUUCAGGUCUGCACUUCUGAUUUCCUCAAUUCCAUCUCAGAUUUCGAGUUUUAAGCCAUGAGUGUGUCAUGUCUUGGUUGGUAUCCUCAAAGUUGAACUUAUUGUUGUAUUUCCAUGCAAGUUUCAACUGCAUCAGAUUUCUCUAGGGAGUGCCAAUGAAAUUAUUUCAGCUACAGAAAUGGGCCCCAUGUAGAUGAUCUGAAACUAUUUGCUGCCAUGAUGGUCCAGGUUCUUCAUCUACAUAUUGACAACUGCGUGUUGCUUGCUACUAUAAGUCGCUAAAGAUAUUCAGAAAUUGGUAACCUUCAACCUUGAUAUUCAAUUCAUUUUGUUUUCUAUUUCUGUCUCUAUCUGUUAUAUCUUCCCAAACUCUAAUGUUCGUAGCAAGAUGUGUAAUUUUUGUACCAAGUUCUGGCUCUUCUUUGCCUCCCCUAUCUUCCAUGGAAGGGAUACUCGGCAUUCUUUCUCCUAUGUCAUUUUGUGGAAAAGACUUCAUCAAUUUCUUAUCUUUUCUAAGAAUCUGAGGUUGGAUUCUAUUGGGAGAUUGAGACUACUUUUUCAUGCUGCUCCAUGGAAUUAUGCCUGCCCGGCUCUGCAAAGUCUUUUAAUAUGUGAUUGGAAUAGUUCUGUAAUGCUUUUUAAUGAGCUUAUAAAAAAGUAAUUGGAUGAUGUUGUUCGCUGCAUCCACAUUGUUCAGCUGAAAGGAACAUAAGCAAACCAGUUUUGCAAAGGAAGCUUUGCUCUUUCCUUUCUCCAUUUGGAAAUUAUAUCUGUAUUUACAAAACCAUGUGUCCUGGAUCAGAGCAGUUUCAUGAUUAUCACUAUUUACUUCUGAAUUUAAGUUAAACGUACAGUAUCUGUUAUCUAUUUUGUGGCAGCAGGAGAUUUCUUUGGCUUCUAGAUGUUUGUCUUCUUGUGUGCUUUAACCUGCUUUUCAACAUGAGCUGGACAGAUAGGAGAGGCCCAACUAAUCAGUGCUAACUAUAUCAGUUGUUGCAAGCCGAAUGACACCAUACCUUGAUUUUUUCAAGUGUGUUUCCUUGUAGUACUCAAUGUUUAUAUGCUAAUGUUAUGUAACAGUUUGAUAUAGUAGGGUGCAUCUAUAGCUUGUUUUGAAAACUUUAAAUAGACAUAACUUUUUUGUUGGUAUUGUGCUUUUAUGAAUGGAUUAAAAUGAAUAA